AACGAACGCUGGCGGCAGGCCUAAAACAUGCAAGUUGAACGGGUGUAGCAAUACAUCAGUAGCGCACGGGUGAGUAAUAUAUGGGAACACAUCUUUUGGUGGGGAAUAUUCUCUAGAAAUGGAGAGCAAUACCGCAUAAGCCCUACGGGGGAAAGAUUUAUCGCCGAUUGAGUGGCCCAUAUUAGAUUAGCUAGUUGGUUAGGUAAAAGCUGACCAAGGCGAUGAUCUAUAGCUGGUCUGAGAGGAUGAUCAGCCACACUGGGACUGAGACACGGCCCAGACUCCUACGGGAGGCAGCAGUUAGGAAUAUUGGACAAUGGGGGAAACCCUGAUCCAGCCAUGCCGCGUGAGUGAAGAAGGCCUUCGGGUUGUAAAGCUCUUUUGUAUGGGAAGAUGAUGACGGUACCAUAAGAAUAAGCACCGGCUAACUUCGUGCCAGCCGCCGCAGUAA
rnacentral:rRNA from 1 species